GACGAACGCUGGCGGCGUGCUUAACACAUGCAAGUCGAGCGGUAAGGCCCUUUCGGGGGUACACGAGCGGCGAACGGGUGAGUAACACGUGGGUGACCUGCCCUCAGCUCUGGGAUAAGCCUGGGAAACCGGGUCUAAUACCGGAUAUGACUCCAUGACGCAUGUUGUGGGGUGAAAGCCUUGUGCGGCUGAGGAUGGGCCCGCGGCCUAUCAGCUUGUUGGUGGGGUGANGGCCUACCAAGGCGACGACGGGUAGCCGGCCUGAGAGGCGACCGGCCACACUGGGACUGAGACACGGCCCAGACUCCUACGGGAGGCAGCAGUGGGGAAUCUUGCGCAAUGGGCGAAAGCCUGACGCAGCGACGCCGCGUGAGGGAUGACGGCCUGGUU
rnacentral:rRNA from 1 species